UACGAAGGGGGCUAGCGUUGUUCGGAAUUACUGGGCGUAAAGCGCACGUAGGCGGACAUUUUAAGUUGGAGGUGAAAGCCUUGGGCUCAACCCAAGAAUUGCCUUUGAUACUGGAUGUCUCGAGACCGGGAGAGGUGAGUGGAAUUCCGAGUGUAGAGGUGAAAUUCGUAGAUAUUCGCAAGAACACCAGUGGCGAAGGCGGCUCACUGGCCCGGUACUGACGCUGAGGUGCGAAAAGCGUGGGGGAGCAAACAGG
rnacentral:rRNA from 1 species